rnacentral:lncRNA from 1 species
UUUUAAUAUAAUUUUCACGAAAAAAUGGUACAUUUUGCCAUUUAAUAUAUUAAAUGUAAAACAAUAAAUAUGGAAUCUUUUGAGUUUUCUUUCUGUUUGAUAAAAUAUAGAAUAUUUACAACGAGAUAGCUCACUAACGAUAAAGCCUCGUCACCAUACAUGCGUCAAUUACAAUCAGGUCCUAAGCUAAUAUCCAAGCAAGUCAAAUCAAUACACACAUCAAACAAUGGCAAAUUAACGAAAUUAAAAGUUGGUUAUCGUUGAGAUGAUACUUGUAUCACAUAAAUAUA